AGUUGAAAGAUGCUCUUUAAUCCGAAUUGAUUCCAGAUUUUCUUGGGCUUUAUGGAAGUUACCACGGAAUAAAGAUAAAUGUGCUAAUCUCUCGCCACCUUGAACUGCUGAUUGAGAACUAAUUGAUGACACUGAUCUACUGUAAUUAGCUGCUGAUAUGGACGACUCCAGUGAGACCUAUUUAUGCAUAAAUGAUCCCAACGGCAACAGAGCCAUCCACUGGUCCGAAUCACACGCUCGCCUGGAGCCUUUGGAGGAGGAGGUGGAGAAGUUCAGGAGGAAGCUGAAGUAUUUCUUCAUGAACCCCUGUGACAAGUACAAAGCUCGCCGAAGAAAACCCUGGAAACUGAUACUGCAGAUCGUUAAAAUCGCUGUGGUCACCAUACAGCUGGUGUCGUUUGGUCUCAGUAAUCAGAUGGUGGUUCAGUUUAAGGAGGAGAAUCUCAUGGUGUUCAGGCAUCUGUUCCUGAAGAACUUCACCAAGAGCAGCGCAAACACCUACGCUGUUUACACGCAGCAUGACGUCUACACACACAUCGCUUACACCGUGGAGCAGUUUCUGAUGUUGCCUAGCAUAACGGUGGGCAACCAUGAGUAUGAGAAGGAAGGUGAUGUUUACACUCCCCUCACCAUCUGCCAGCAGUUCUACCACAACGGCAGCGUCUCACCAGCAAAUGAGACCUUUGACAUUGACACUCAGGUGGAUGAAGAGUGUUCGCUCAUUUACCCACAACACCCCUUCUCAACUCUCACAGCAGACCCUCUGAACUUUACUCUGCACUUUGAGAGGUUGUUGACGGUGACUGUAAAAUUCACUCUGAAAGCCAUUAACCUGGAGACGGUUCAGUAUCAUGAGCUUCCAGACUGCUACGUCUUCAACAUCAUGAUCACCUUUGACAACAAGCCCCACAGCGGGAGAAUGGUGAUUGACCUGGACAACGAUGUGCAGAUCUAUAAAUGCAGAGACUGGACCAUGACUGGUGCAUCCCCGAGGAAAAUGUACAUUAUGGUUCUGUUUGACGUCAUGGUCAUUCUGAUUCUCGCGCUGUCGCUGCUUCUCUGCAUGCGCUCGGUGAAAGCUGGAGUCCUGCUGCAGUUCGAAUACACAGCGUUCUUCUCCAGUCGUUACAGCAAACGCGUGUCCUUCUCCGACCGUAUGGAGUUCAUUAACGGCUGGUGCAUCCUCAUCAUCGUUAGUGACGUACUCACCAUCACAGGCUCUCUGCUGAAGAUCAUCAUCCAGCUGAAGGCCGUGGCGAGUUAUGACCUGUGCAGUAUCCUGCUGGGCACCGGCACCAUGCUCGUGUGGAUCGGGGUCUUACGCUACAUGGGAUACUUGAGAAAAUACAACAUUCUCAUCAUCACUCUGCGAGCGGCGUUUCCGAACGUCAUCCGUUUCACCUGCUGUGCCGCCAUGAUUUACCUCGGGUACUGUUUCUGUGGAUGGAUCGUGCUGGGACCCUACCACAGCAAGGCAGUUCCGGACGCUGAACCUGGUGUCCGAGAGUCUGUUUUCCCUCAUCAACGGAGACGACAUGUUCGCCACCUUCAAGAACAUGCAGCAGAAGAGUUUCGUGGUGUGGCUCUUCAGCCGCCUGUAUCUCUACACGUUCGUGUCUCUGUUCAUCUACAUGGUGCUCAGUCUGUUCAUCACGCUCAUCACGGACACCUACGACACCAUCAAGCAUCAGCAGUUGGACGGGGAGCCCGUGUCAGAUCUUCAGGCGUUCAUCAUGCAGUGUAAAGAUCCUCCUGAAUCGGGCUGCUUCAGUGAGAACGAGACCAGCGGCAGAUGCCUGAUGUGCUGCUCACACAGGAUAUGCGGCUCUGAUGACGACACAGACUGACCUUCACCUGGAGUGUGUGUGUGAUCGUGGACUGAAAGUGAACAUAUCUGUAUAUUAAGUGUAUAUAAAUAUAUAAAAAACUAAUGAACAGCACACCACUCUCCACUUUAUGAAAGACUGUAAAUUAGUGUAAUUAUUAUAUUUUGUUUUAAUGUGCAAGUAUAUGUAAAGAUGAAGUUUAGUUGUGCUGGAGGACAUACUGAAUUUGGGUAAAGAAAAGAAAAUAUUUGUUGUAUUAUAUGAUGUAUUUCCUACAUCACAUUGUACGUUUUGUGCUGUUUGUGUUUAUAAUAAUAAAGCGUGUCUUAGUGUUA